rnacentral:rRNA from 1 species
UUAAGCAUAUCAAUAAGCGGAGGAAAAGAAACUAACAAGGAUUCCCCUAGUAACUGCGAGUGAAGCGGGAAAAGCUCAAAUUUAAAAUCUGGUAGUCUUUGGCUGCCCGAGUUGUAGUCUGGAGAAGUGUCUUCCGCGCCGGACCGUGUACAAGUCUCUUGGAACAGAGCGUCAUAGAGGGUGAGAAUCCCGUCUUUGACACGGACUACCGGUGCUUUGUGAUGCGCUCUCAAAGAGUCGAGUUGUUUGGGAAUGCAGCUCAAAAUGGGUGGUGAAUUCCAUCUAAAGCUAAAUAUUGGCGAGAGACCGAUAGCGAACAAGUACCGUGAGGGAAAGAUGAAAAGCACUUUGGAAAGAGAGUUAAACAGUACGUGAAAUUGCUAAAAGGGAACCGCUUGAAGUCAGUCGCGUCGUCUAGAACUCAACCUUGCUUGCUUGGUGCACUUUCUAGUUGACGGGCCAACAUCAGUUUUGACUGUCGGAAAAAAGCCUUUGGAAUGUGGCACCUUCGGGUGUGUUAUAGCCUUGGGUUGUAUGCGAUGGUUGGGACUGAGGACCGCAGCACGCCUUUAUGGCCGGGGUUCGCCCACGUACGUGCUUAGGAUGUUGGCGAAAUGGCUUUAAGCGACCCG